CAAGGUCACUUCCGGUAGUCAUUUUUCAAGGUCAUUUGUCACCUAAUCUUUUGUACAAGGUCAAAUGCCUUUAUAAUGAACUUAGUUGAAGUCAUAAUCAAAUAACCUCAUAUCAAGACAUUUGAGGGGCAACAACUCCUUUAAGAUGCCAUUAAAUUGUAUAAGACUAAAUGUAGCAUAUCUUCAUUACAAUAAAGCUGACAUUUUGCACUUGUUCUUUAGUAUGUAUCUUUCAAAGUGUCGGAGAAAAUGCAAAAACAAGCAAAAGUCACAAUUAAGAACUUGACCUUGACCUUUGACCUUGACCUAAUUUUCUAAGUUAGGACCCAGGGGACUCAAAUAAAAACAUUCCAGGGUUAUACGGUUAACGGUUUAUGAGUUAAAAAAACAUACCGACAAAUUUAUUCCGUAAAGGUAGAUAACUCCUAUAAAAUUUCAUCGAAUCGCUUCGAUCCAAAUUAGCCAAAAAUUCCUGAGGAUGUAACGAACAAUUUGUAAAAAGAAUUUUGUCGCUAUCUUUUUUUGUUACGAAGGAGAUGCACACACAUGAUAAACAGUGAAUAGGGAGAUAACUCUUACAAAGAAAAUGGUUCGGCUUAGCAGGGUGAAAUUUAAAAGCGCAUAAACUAUACGAUACAAUAUGAGAAAAAUCUAAGCGACAUAUUGCGAAACAAACAUUUAUCGCAAGAACAAAAUUUGGCGGAAAAAAAAAAAAAAAAUAAUAAUAGAAAAAUCAAUUAAUAAGCUUUUAAAUAAAGCAAAAAAGCAAUUGUAGGGGGUCUUUCCCCCUUUAAAAUUAAUUGAAUUUGGGGGGGGGGGUGUUUGUUUGUUUGUUUGUUUGUUUGUUUCUGUAUGGGGUCUAUAUUAUAUGUUACCGAGAGAAGUUUCAUGUUUAGUUUGGAAAGUUUUUCUUUUAUUUUAGAUACAGCGCGCGCGCCACAUUCACGUGACAUCACGUGACGCGGGUUUAUAAUAACGAAAAAGAUAGUCUUUUUAAUUUCUUUUUAGGUCGGGACUUUGAACAGACAACAUGUAUAGAGAUGGAAUGCACACAAUGUAAUUUCUUUUGUCAUUGUAGGAAAUUGACAUUUUGAUGACAGUUCACAAGCAGUGCAUGUUUUGGAUUUAAUUCGAUCCGGUGUAACUUUAAAACACAUUUAAUGAUUAUUUUUUGAUAAUGUACAUUUUUCAGCACCUGUUUGUAACACAGAUUAGUAUUUCAAUCUCGGAGCGGACAUUUUAUUGUAGGUUUUUACUGAGAUUGACGGACCUAGCAAGCGAUUUUUACGGCAUUGCCAUUUCUUUUUUCUAGGAAAAGUCUUGAGAGAUAUCUGCAAAAGUUUUUUUUAUGAACCUUCAGUACAUGUAUGCCCUGCUGACUGCAAAUUUUCAGGUCGAUUGGACUUGUAGUUUCAGAGAAUAUGUGGAUUUUUUUUCAGAAGAGACGUAAGAACAAUAAUAAAAUAAAAAUUUUCUUGAAUAAUUGAGAGUUUGUUCCUUCAAUAUACUGUCAUAAAUAAACAGUCAUACAUAUUGAUUGAUUGAUUAGUUGGUUGAUUGAUUGGUUGGUUUGUUGGUUGGUUGAUUAAACACGUUUGAUAGGGUCACUUAGAACAAGGGAAAAAACCUCAAGAGACCUUGCAUCCCGUAUUAAACGCAUGACACGGAAACAUACAUUAAGUGAUUGAUUGGUUGGUUGGUUGGUUAAACACGUUGGUUAAACAUGUUGGUUGAACACGUUGGUUAAACACGUUGGCUGGUUAAACACGUUUGAAAGGCUCAAUUUAAACAAGCGAAAAAAAAAACAUCUUGGAUCCCGUAUUUAACACAUGAAACGGAAACAUGCAUUGAUUGGUUGAUUGGUUGGUUGGUUGGUUGGUUAAACACGUUGGUUAAACAUGUUGGUUAAACACGUUGGCUGGUUAAACACGUUUGAUAGGCUCAAUUUAAACAAGCGAAAAAAAACCAUCUUGGAUCCCGUAUUUAACACAUGAAACGGAAACAUGCAUUGAUUGAUUGAUUGGUUGGUUGGUUGGUUAAACACGUUGGUUAAACAUUGGUUAAACACGUUGGUUAAACACGUAGUUUAAACACGUUUGAUAGGCUCAAUUUUAACAAGCGAAAAAAAACCAUCUUGGAUCCCGUAUUUAACACAUGAAACGGAAACAUGCAUUGAUUGGUUGAUUGGUUGGUUGGUUGGUUGGUUUGGUUGGUUGGUAAACACGUUGGUUAAACACGUUGGUUAACACGUUGGUUAAACACGUUGGCUGGUUAAACACGUUAGAUAGGCUCAAUUUAAACAAGCGAAAAAAAAACCAUCUUGGAUCCCGUAUUUAACACAUGAAACGGAAACAUGCAUUGAUUGAUUGGAUUGUUGGUUGGUUGGUUGGUUGGUUGGUUAAACACGUUGGUUAAACAUGUUGGUUAAACACGUUGGUUAAACACGUUGGCUGGUUAAACACGUUAGAUAGGCUCAAUUUAAACGAGCGAAAAAAAAACAUCUUGGAUCCCGUAUUUAACACAUGAAACGGAAACAUGCAUUGAUUGAUUGAUUGAUGGUUGGUUGGUUAAACAUGUUGGUUAAACACGUUGGUUAAACAUGUUGGUUAAACACGUUUGAUAGGCUCAAUUAAAACAAGCGAAAAAAAGAAGACCUUGAAUCCCGUAUCAAACACAUGAAACGGAAACAUUGAUUGAUUGAUUGAUUGAUUGAUUGAUUGAUUGAUUGAUUGAUUGAUUGAUUGAUUGAUUGAUUGAUUGAUUGAUUGAUUGAUUGAUUGGUUGGAAUUCAAACACACAUAAAACUGUUUAAAUAGUGCCAAAAAACACAUAAUUUGAUGACCUUGACCUUUGACCUUGUGACCUUCGUCAAGGUCAUUGCUCCACAAGGUCAUUGCAAAAGACCCUAUGGGUCAAGGACCUUUUGUUUAAGAGUUUUGCCUAAAAAUGGCUUUUUAAAAACCAUCGAUGGGAGUUAUGUCCCUUACAUGAUGGUAAAAUCAAUAUAGUCAUAAUGUAAAAAAGUUGCCCCUUGAAGUACCAAGCAUUUUUCACUGCUUAAAUUUUUUGUAUCUAUAACCGUUCAAGAAUUAUAGGGAAAUGAAAAACUUAUGAAAAUCUAAAAUAUGACCUUGACCUUUGACCUUGACCUAAUUUUCUAAGUUAGGACCCAGGGGACUCAAAUAAAAACAUUCCAGGGUUAUACGGUUAACGGUUUAUGAGUUUAAAAAACAUACCGACAAAUUUAUUCCGUAAAGGUAGAUAACUCCUAUAAAAUUUCAUCGAAUCGCUUCGAUCCAAAUACGCCAAAAAUUACUGAGGAUGUAACGAACAGUUUGUAAAAAGAAUUUUGUCGCUUUCUUAUUUUGUUACGAAGGAGAUGCACACAGAGGAUAAACAGUGAAAAGGGAGAUAACUCUUACAUAGAAAAUGGUUCGCCUUAGCAGGGUGAAAUUUAAAAGCGCAUAAACUAUACGAUACAAUAUGAGAAAUAUCUAAGCGACAUAUUGCGAAACAAACAUUUAUCGCAAGAACAAAAUUUGGCGGAAGAAAAAAAUAAUAAUAAUAAUAAUAAUUAAAAACCAAUUGUUCAGAGAACAAUUGAAGGUCUUUCCA
rnacentral:lncRNA from 1 species